UCAUAUGUUAAGGGUGCAUCAGCUGAUGUGGCUGGAGCCACUGCUGCCAGGGAAGCUUCAAAUGGUGGGCCAUUGAAGAAGACACGUGCUGCCAGUAACUUCUCCCAAAAUAGCAUGACAUCUGAUACUAUAGAAGCUACAAUUUUGGACUUGGAGGAACUUGUUAGCCGGGUCAAAUGGACUAAAAAUAUCUUAGAAUCUGGAAAUCCAUCUUUACAUACUUCCAGGCCCAUGUGGAAAUUUCUGGAAAAUCCUGCAUCAUUAAUACCCAAUUCUGAUAAGGAAAGAAAGUGCGGAGAAACACUAAGGAUUUAUUUGUUUAAGUCAUUUGCUUCACUUUUUCCACCAAUACCAUGAAAUUUUCUGUGAACAUUGGAAAGAAAAUGACGUUCUCAUAAAUUUCCGAGAGGCAAGGACAGAGGAAGAUGGAGAAAUUUGUGAAUAUGCCUCCAUCAACAUAUGUUCGGUAGGUUCUAGAAUUCGACUGAAUGCCACUUUUUAAGUUUUGGUAUUUCUGGUUAAUUUCAAGAUUGAUUAUUGGGGUGUUCUGAAACUGGUUGGAUGUAAUAUUUCUUAGGGAUCUCUAACAUCCACUUAAUCCUCUGGCUUGUCUUUUUCUUCAUUUUACAUGCUUUCAGUGGAAAUGUAAAUGUACUCAGAUGUUUCAGUUUUACUAAGUAAGAAAUUAUCUUCUUCCAAAACUGAAUAUGGAAAGGUUGCAACUUUUGUC